rnacentral:rRNA from 1 species
AGAGUUUGAUCAUGGCUCAGAACGAACGCUGGCGGCGUGCUUAACACAUGCAAGUCUAGGUGGCUUUGGUUUUCGGAUCAAAGCAAACUGGCGAACGGGUGAGUAACACGUAAGAAACCUGCCCCUAUGUCUGGGAUAACAAUAGGAAACUGUUGCUAAUACCGGAUACGCGGCUUUAUCGCAUGAUAAAGUCGGAAAGUCGGUCAUGCUGACGCUUAGGGAUGGUCUUGCGUACCAUUAGCUUGUUGGUAGGGUAACGGCCUACCAAGGCAACGAUGGUUAGCCGGUCUGAGAGGGCGACCGGUCACACUGGAACUGAGAUACGGUCCAGACUCUUACGGGAGGCAGCAGUGGGGAAUUUUGCGCAAUGGUCGAAAGACUGACGCAGCAACGCUGCGUGGAUGAUGAAGGUCUUCGGAUUGUAAAAUCCUUUUGUAAGGGAAGAACACCUAUCUAGUAACUGAUGAUAGCUUGACGGUACCUUACGAAUAAGCUCCGGCUAACUCCGUGCCAGCAGCCGCGGUAAUACGGAGGGAGCAAGCGUUGUUCGGAUUUACUGGGCGUAAAGCGCACGUAGGUGGUUUGUCAAGUCAGUGGUUAAAGUCGUCGGCUCAACCGACGUUAUGCCCUUGAAACUGACAGACUAGAGUGGCGGAGAGGGUAGUAGAAUUCACAGUGUAGCGGUGGAAUGCGUAGAUAUUGUGAGGAAUACCAUUGGC